UAGUGACGCGGACUGAUGGAUGUCCGUUCAAGCAGUGAGGCUGAUAUGUAGGCAAAUCCGCAUAUCGCAAGGCCAGGCUGUGAUGAGGAGCGAAAAUUGUAGUAGCGAAGGUCAUGAUUUCACACUGCCAAGAAAAGUCUCUAGCCAGGAAGCAGGUGCCCGUACCGUAAACCGACACAGGUGGGUGAGAAGAGAAUUCUAAGGCGCGCGGAAGAACUCUCGUUAAGGAACUCGGCAAAAUGACCCCGUAACUUCGGGAGAAGGGGUGCCCCGGUAGUGUGAAUAGCACGAGGGGGCCGCAGUGAAAAGGCCCAAGCGACUGUUUAGCAAAAACACAGGUCUGUGCGAAGCCGCAAGGCGAAGUAUACGGGCUGACGCCUGCCCGGUGCUGGAAGGUUAAGGGGAGUGGUUAGCGCAAGCGAAGCUAUGAACCGAAGCCCCAGUAAACGGCGGCCGUAACUAUAACGGUCCUAAGGUAGCGAAAUUCCUUGUCAGGUAAAUUCUGACCCGCACGAAUGGCGUAACGAUUUGGGCGCUGUCUCAACGAGAGAUCCGGUGAAAUUUUAAUACCUGUGAAGAUGCAGGUUACCCGCGACAAGACGGAAAGACCCCAUGGAGCUUUACUGCAACUUGAUAUUGAACUGGGGUGCGAUUUGUACAGGAUAGGUGGGAGCCGUAGAAACCGGAGCGCAAGCUUCGGUCGAGGCGCCGUUGGGAUACCACCCUGAUCGCAUUUGAGUUCUAACCUCGUACCGUGAUCCGGUACAGGGACCGUGUCAGGUGGGCAGUUUGACUGGGGCGGUCGCCUCCUAAAGUGUAACGGAGGCGCCCUAAGGUUCCCUCAGAAUGGUUGGAAAUCAUUCGAAGAGUGUAAAGGCAUAAGGGAGCUUGACUGCGAGACAGACACGUCGAGCAGGGACGAAAGUCGGGCUUAGUGAUCCGGUGGUACCGCAUGGAAGGGCCAUCGCUCAACGGAUAAAAGCUACCCUGGGGAUAACAGGCUUAUCUCCCCCAAGAGUCCACAUCGACGGGGAGGUUUGGCACCUCGAUGUCGGCUCAUCGCAUCCUGGGGCUGAAGUAGGUCCCAAGGGUUGGGCUGUUCGCCCAUUAAAGCGGUACGCGAGCUGGGUUCAGAACGUCGUGAGACAGUUCGGUCCCUAUCUGUCGUGGGCGUAGGAAAUUUGAGAGGAGCUGUCCUUAGUACGAGAGGACCGGGAUGGACGCACCGCUGGUGUACCAGUUGUUCCGCCAGGAGCAUCGCUGGGUAGCUACGUGCGGAAGGGAUAAGCGCUGAAAGCAUCUAAGCGUGAAGCCCCCCUCAAGAUGAGAUUUCCCAGUAUGUAAGACCCCUUGUAGACGACGAGGUUGAUAGGUUGGGGGUGGAAGUGCCG
rnacentral:rRNA from 1 species